GCUGGGAUUGUAGGCAUGAGCCACCGUGCCCGGCCUAUUUUUUUUUUUAAACCCAGAUCAAAUGGAACCUAUUAAAGGUAGAGUUGGACAUUCCUCCUAUGAGCAGAGUUAGACAGUCCUCCUAGAGCUUCUGUGGUAUUUAUUACACUCUAAUACAAUUAUGUGUUUGUAUGUCCGUUUCCCUGCAUUUGGUUUCUUUUAAUAGCAUCCAAAUGCAAAUCUGACCUUUUUUUUGUUUGUCCUUCUAUCAGCAUACAAUAGAGCCUGACAUAGAGAAUAAUCAAUAAGUAUAUAUUGAUUGAUUAAAUGAAUGGAUUUUUUUUUUUUGUUCCAGGUAGAGUGUAGUGGAAAAAGCCUAGACCCUGGUACUAUUCCCAGUUCCUCUGCUAACUUGCUAUGUGACCAUAGUCUCUCAGCAGCUCCUUCACCUCAUCAAUGAAGUGGAGUCAGUACCACCCACUUUGGAAUAAUUGUUUUGAAGAUUAAAAGAGUUAAUGAUCAUUUAUCCAUUCAAUUGUAGGGAUAUGCUGAAUGCUUCUUAUGAGCCAGGCACUGUGGUAGGUACUAAGGCUAUAACAUUGUCUUUUCCUCAUAAAGCUUUUCAAUCUAGCGGGAAAGACAAGUAAUUAAACAAGCAUCUACAAUAACAUAUAGUGAAAAUUGGAAUAGGAGAAGAAUAAGGUCCUAUGGGAACAUACAACAGGGGGCCCACCUUAAUCGAGGGGUUAGGAAGAACCUCCCCAAAUGGUAUGAAAGAAUUGUAAAGUACUAUACUCAUGUCAGGUAGGAUGUUAUUACUAUAGAUGAGACUGCCGUUGAGCUCAUAGAAGGAAGCCAUCACACUGUGGAGAGUGAGGCUUCCUGGAAAAGUGGAGUGUUGAGCUGGACUUAACUUCCUUUGAUGUUGCUGGCUGAUUUUCAUUAGGAAGAUGUGCCCUUCGAAUGGUGUCUCCAGGAUCAGAGAUGGAUCUGUCUUCAUCUGUCCAUACCCCAACUCACCUUGUUGCUAUAAGAAACUGAGCCCUCCAGUUCAAGAAUACAAACCACAGAGAGGGGAAUACUGAAGGGAAAUCUAAAAGCUCCAAAUGUCUGUGUUCCUGCUUUGGGCACAUUGAGGUGAAGAAGACCAGUGAUUUGCCAAGGAAAGAAGGGCUUGUCUGAAAGAGUCAGGAAGGAAAUUUAUGCUCCCUUAGAAGAUGAGAAAACAGAGAUAGGGGCUGCUCACCUACCCCUCAGUGUCAACUUGUAGUAGGUAAAUAAACAACACCAAAUAAGU